AAAUAUCACGACAUAAAAGUUUUGCUCACCACCUGAUUGCGUUCCUGAUUGCUUUUUCUUUGGUAAAUAUUCAUGUAUAUCUUGCUGAAGCUGAGCCUCAGCUGGUUUAUUCCCAUUUGGGUCCACUCUUUGCUGGAGCUGAGGUCACUUUUUAGCUGCUCUUACAGGUCAUUUCAUGGGAAGGGCUGCAGCUGAACAGCAAGAUGCAGUCCAGUGUCUGACCUCCAGCAUGGCUGCAUCUACGCUUGGAGGAAAACCUGGGGAGGUGCAUCUGAAAUACCCUCUGGAAUUCUGAAACGGUGAGAAAUGCAGUCCCCAGGGACUUUUUCUGGAGAAAGGGAUUCAGUCAGCCUUACCCUUGUCCAGGGAAUUUUUCCUUGAAACCAUAACUGAGUUAAUAAUACCCACGAAAUACAAAAGACAUCUAAAAGUGUAUUAAUAUUAGAUUAAAUGUUGUUAUUGCUGAUGUUCAUGAAUGGGAAAGCUGGAACUGAAGCAACUGUACUGAGCUGAGCACAACACCACACCAGUGUCAGCAGGAAAGCAUUUACUUGGAAAAAUCCUUUGUAUGAUCCUGCUCUCCAGGAUUUUUCAUAUGUCCAUAUCUGUAAAUUAUCUCACCACAAUGACAGGUCAUGGCAUUUUUUUGGCUUGCCUUUAUCACAAACUUUAGGAGUUAAAUUCUGUAAUGGAUAGUAUCUGAAAACUCAGGUAUGUUAAGAUAAAACAGUGACAUUUCAGAUAUGAUCGCUACCUAAAUGAUAACAUUUACUAGCAGACAGCUCAUUUAUUUAAGAAAUAUGAUUUUAUGACAUUUUGAUGGUGUUUUUCAAGCUUAUUAAUUCGUGACAAAAUUGUAUUCUUCUCUGUCUUAAGUAUAAAAUCUCUAUGAAGUAAGACUUAAAUGAAAAUGAUCCUGGCUGAAAAUCUGAACAGUUAUAAAGAUUUGGAAGCAAUUUGCAGAAGAGAGAUCUCUUGACUGACCAAGAGAUCUGAAGUGUAUUUUGGUUUUGGAAAUGGGAUCAGUAUAUUAGAGAGGCCCAUUCAUCUCCCAGUCUAUAUUUAGCAUGCUGCAGUGAAGCAGUGACUGCCUUCAUCACAGUGCAGUGUAUCCCAGUCAUGCCUAUGACCCCACAGGGUAUCUGCUCUAGUCAGUAUUUUGAGAAGGCUCAGUAAUAAAGUUCUGUCUUUCGGCCUUGUCUUUAAACGUGAGGCACACUGUAAUGGAUAUGUGACCUUGGCAGGUUAUGCUGUUCCAAGUAUGGAUCCGUGGAUUAAUUUCCAGCUGAGGGCUGCCUUCCCUACCUCUAGAGGGUGUGCAGGUGGUGGCAACAAAUCACUACACAUACAGUUCAUACUGUUUUCUGGCAGGAGAACAGAAUUGUUGUCUUGCAGUCUAGCCCUGGGAAUUGCUGGUUAGAUGUUCCAAAAAAUCAUUAGCAUGUUAAUUUGAUUAAAAACAAUAAUUAAUGAAGAACGCUGGCAAAUUGUUAGGACACCUUGUGAAAAUGAUGGCACAUAGAGGUACAGUUCUGGAAGAUGUAAUUUACUGAUCUGCAAAUUUCUUUCAUGUAACAAAUGCAAAAUAUACAAGUUCAUGAUUAGAUAAUCCAAGCAUUUAAAUAAUCCUGCAUUUUUCUAAAUCACUGCAGACAACAGUUGUCACUGUCUUUUAUGCAGGGUGAUAACCCAGUCAUCAUUGUUGAGAUGGACCUUUAUAAUUCCUAGCAUGACCUCUGUUGAGCUAAUAUCUCAAAGGUAUGACCUAUCUGUCACCACAGCUCAAAUUAUUAAAACUCUUAAUAUUCAACCUCCUUCUGUCUGGACUCAGCAGUGUGCUCUGUGUGCUCAUCCCUGUGGCUGUACAACCCUUGCUCCACAGCAGCUCCCUCCUUGCCUGAGGAGAAAGUUACUUCUCUUCACUUUCAAUAGCUGUAAAAAGUAUCUGGUUAGUUAAUUUCUAAAAAUACAUUUAUAAGUGAAUAACAAAAGCAGAAAGUCAGCUUAACAUGAUUCAUUAAGUGGAAGGAAACAACAAAUGGAACUGUUCCUUUUUGCUGGGUCUGCCACCCUCAGCAGCAUGUGAUACAAGUGCUUUGCAUAUGCCAAUAAACUGCUUGACAGGAGACUAGCAUGAGUGUACUUCUAACUUACUGUAACUAAACCCAACCUCAGUAAAUCUGUAACUAAGCCUAUGAUAUGUUAUUUUCCCUUCACUUUUUUGAAAGUGACACUUAUUUUGGCAGAUGCUGAACUGUUGCAUGAGCUAGGAAUUUCAUUGUUUAACAAUUUUAUGAAGAUUAAUUAUCACAUGGUUGAUGAGAGUCUCCUUCCUGUGUUGUUUGUCUUUGUCUGAAGGUACUGAGUUCGAGAAAUAGAUGACUGGUAGAAGAACAAGCAGAAAGGCAACACAGCUUCUCAGCAUGUAGCAUAGAAACUAGGAUGCAGAUGAAUUAAUAGUGCUAAAGAUACACCUAACUUUACAAUUUUCUGUGAGGUUGGGAGCUGAAACAACUGCAAAAUUAAGUUGCUGGUAGAGACUGGUGAGAAUAUGGGGAAAAUAGUCAAUGGAUAACAGGGAAAAACAUACUGAAAUCAGUCUCAUGGGUUCUUUGAAACAGGUUGCUGUAAAAAUUCUAGGGUUUGACAAGCUUUGAGAAAGUUACACAUGAAUUGGAGUAGUUUGUUCAUUUUCAAGUAUGUUUUUAGGAAGCUGCUUCUCCCAAACAUUUCUACAUCUGUACACUUUUGCAUUCUCUAGUAUGGAAUGAGGAUGGACUUAAUGCUCUUGAGAUAGUUUAAUUAAUUUAAAGAGAUUGUACUGCUGUGAUAUCAUCACUGUGUCUUCUGGGACAUUCUACCAGACCUCUAAAACUGUGUAUAAAUUAUGCACAAAUUCUUCAAAAACAGGAGUGAAAAAGAGUAUUUUUGCUCAUGACCUUGGAUGAAACAGCAAUCCAGAUCUUUGCAACUAAGUGUCUUAAAUAGUUUUUCUCUCUUACAAACUAACCUCUGGAUGGCAGGUGUUUAAAAUUGAUAGAUAUAUCAAGGCAGGUAGGUGUCCAGAUAGGCUGAGUCCACUGUGCUUGCUGUUUCAGUUCUGCACUGCAUCAUUCAAUACAUGCUUGUUAAAACAAACCUUUGUCUUCCACAAAGACAUAGAAAGUAAGACUGCCAGCUCUUGUAUCCUGAGGGGAAGAAAGAAAACUGAAAUAAAAUUUAAAAAAAGGCAAAAGACAACAAACAAACAAAACAAAACAAAACAAAACAAACAAAAAAAAACACAAAAAACCAC